GAUUAACGCUGGCGGCGUGCAUAACACAUGCAAGUCGAACGAAGAAACUUUAAUGAACCCUUCGGGGAGAAUUAAAGCGGAUUAGUGGCGAACGGGUGAGUAACGCGUGAGUAACCUGCCUUACACAAGGGGAUAGCCUUUGGAAACGAAGAAUAAUACUCUAUCAAACCAUACAAGCACAUGCAAUUGUGGUCAAGGUGAUAGCGGUGUAAGAUGGACUUGCGUCUGCUGUGCUAGCUGGUGAGAUAAAAGCCCACCAAGGCUGAGAGCAGAAGCCGGAAUGGGAGAGUGUACGGCCACAUUGGGACUGAGACACGGCCCAGACUCCUACGGGAGGCAGCAGGGGGGAAUUUUGCACACUGGGGGAAACCCUGAUGCAGCGACGCCGCGUGAUUUAGAAGGCAUUCGGGUUGUAAAAAUCUUUUGUAUAGGAAGAAAAUGACGGUACUAUACGAAUAAGGUCCGGCUAAUUACGUG
rnacentral:rRNA from 1 species